GUAAACGAUGGAUACUAGGUGUGGGGGGUCUGACCCCCUCCGUGCCGCAGUUAACACAAUAAGUAUCCCACCUGGGGAGUACGAUCGCAAGGUCGAAACUCAAAGGAAUUGACGGGGGCCCGCACAAGCGGUGGAGUAUGUGGUUUAAUUCGAAGCAACGCGAAGAACCUUACCAGGGUUUGACAUCCUACUAACGAAGCAGAGAUGCAUUAGGUGCCCUUCGGGGAAAGUAGAGACAGGUGGUGCAUGGUUGUCGUCAGCUCGUGUCGUGAGAUGUUGGGUUAAGUCCCGCAACGAGCGCAACCCCUAUUGUUAGUUGCUACGCAAGAGCACUCUAGCGAGACUGCCGUUGACAAAACGGAGGAAGGUGGGGACGACGUCAAAUCAUCAUGCCCUUUAUGUCCUGGGCCACACACGUACUACAAUGGCGGUAAACAGAGGGAUGCAAGACCGCGAGGUGGAGCAAAUCCCUAAAAGCCGUCCCAGUUCGGAU
rnacentral:rRNA from 1 species